rnacentral:sRNA from 1 species
CGGAGGUCAGAGCACGGAGGUUUUGAAGCAGAGAGACUUUGGAGUUCUGUUUUGAGUCGGGGGAACGUUCGCAAAGAGUUUUUGGAAGAUUAGCUAAGGAGAAAACCAUGGCGAGGAUGUUCGUGUGGAGACAGCUUUGGAAGGAGGUAGCGAUGCUGCUGUUUAGUCUUCAUAGGACUUUCUUAAUAAUUCCAUGUAUUUCGGAAUACCUUUCCUUUCACGUUUCCAACUUAAACUAUUAGUGUGUUUAAGUUUUAAAUUCUGACUCUAUUUGGG